UUAUUUGAGAGUUUGAUCCUGGCUCAGGAUGAACGCUGGCGGCGUGCCUAACACAUGCAAGUUGAGCGAUUUACUUCGGUAAAGAGCGGCGGACGGGUGAGUAACGCGUGGGUAACCUACCCUGUACACACGGAUAACAUACCGAAAGGUAUGCUAAUACGGGAUAAUAUAUUUGAGAGGCAUCUCUUGAAUAUCAAAGGUGAGCCAGUACAGGAUGGACCCGCGUCUGAUUAGCUAGUUGGUAAGGUAACGGCUUACCAAGGCGACGAUCAGUAGCCGACCUGAGAGGGUGAUCGGCCACAUUGGAACUGAGACACGGUCCAAACUCCUACGGGAGGCAGCAGUGGGGAAUAUUGCACAAUGGGCGAAAGCCUGAUGCAGCAACGCCGCGU
rnacentral:rRNA from 1 species